rnacentral:tRNA from 1 species
GGAGGGAUGCGAGAGCGGACGAAUCGGCAUGCCUGGAGAGCAUGUGAGGGGCUUGUCCCCUCCGUGGGUUCGAAUCCCACUCCCUCCG